UGAGGAAUAUUGGUCAAUGGGCGAGAGCCUGAACCAGCCAAGUCGCGUGAAGGAUGACUGUCUUAUGGAUUGUAAACUUCUUUUAUACGGGAAUAACAAGAGUCACGAGUGACUCCCUGCAUGUACCGUAUGAAUAAGCAUCGGCUAACUCCGUGCCAGCAGCCGCGGUAAUACGGAGGAUGCGAGCGUUAUCCGGAUUUAUUGGGUUUAAAGGGUGCGUAGGCGGCCUGUUAAGUCAGCGGUGAAAUCUAGGAGCUUAACUCCUAAAUUGCCAUUGAAACUGGCGGGCUUGAGUGUAGAUGAGGUAGGCGGAAUGCGUGGUGUAGCGGUGGAAUGCAUAGAUAUCACGCAGAACUCCAAUUGCGAAGGCAGCUUACUAAGGUACAACUGACGCUGAAGCACGAAAGCGUGGGUAUCAAACAGGAUUAGAUACCCUGGUAGUCCACGCAGUAAACGAUGAUAACUGGGCGUAUGCGAUAUACAGUAUGCUCCUAAGCGAAAGCGUUAAGUUAUCCACCUGGGGAGUACGCCGGCAACGGUG
rnacentral:rRNA from 1 species